UCUCCGUUGGUGAACCAGCGGAGGGAUCAUUACCGAGUUUACAACUCCCAAACCCAAUGUGAACGUUACCAAACUGUUGCCUUGGCGGGGUCACGCCCCGGGUGCGUCGCAGCACCGGAACCAGGCGCCCGCCGGUCGAACCAACCAAACUUUUUCUGUAGUCACCUAGAUGCCACUAUUUCUUACAGCUCCGAGCAAAAACUCAUCAAUAAACAAAACAUUAAACAACGGAUCCCUUGGUCUGGGCACCGAUGAAGACCGCAGCACAUCGAUAGAGCC
rnacentral:misc_RNA from 1 species